rnacentral:rRNA from 1 species
UGGGGAAUAUUGGACAAUGGGCGAAAGCCUGAUCCAGCCAUGCCGCGUGUGUGAAGAAGGUCUUCGGAUUGUAAAGCCCUUUAAGUUGGGAGGAAGGGCAGUAAGCGAAUACCUUGCUGUUUUGACGUUACCGACAGAAUAAGCACCGGCUAACUCUGUGCCAGCAGCCGCGGUAAUACAGAGGGUGCAAGCGUUAAUCGGAAUUACUGGGCGUAAAGCGCGCGUAGGUGGUUCGUUAAGUUGAAUGUGAAAGCCCCGGGGUCAACCUGGGAACUGGAUCCAAAACUGGCGAGCUAGAGUAGGGCAGAGGGUGGUGGAAUUUCCUGUGUAGCGGUGAAAUGCGUAGGUAUAGGGAGGAACACCAGUGGCGAAGGCGACCACCUGGGCUCAUACUGACACUGAGGUGCGAAAGCGUGGGGAGCAAACAGG